rnacentral:rRNA from 1 species
UGGCGGCAGGCCUAACACAUGCAAGUUCGAGCGCUGUAGCAAUACAGGAGCGGCGCACGGGUGAGGAACACGUGGGAACGUACCCAACGGUUUGGGAUAACUCAGGGAAACUUGAGCUAAUACCGGAUACGCCCCUUUGGGGGAAAGAUUUAUCGCCGAUGGAGCGGCCCGCGUCCGAUUAGCUUGUUGGUGAGGUAAAAGCUCACCAAGGCAACGAUCGGUAGCUGGUUUGAGAGAACGAUCAGCCACACUGGGACUGAGACACGGUCCAGACUCAUACGGGAGGCAGCAGUGGGGAAUCUUGGACAAUGGGGGCAACCCUGAUCCAGCCAUGCCGCGUGGAGUGAUGAAGGCCCUAGGGUUGUAAAACUCUUUCGGCGGGGACGAUAAUGACGGUACCCGCAGAAGAAGCUCCGGCUAACUUCGUGCCAGCAGCCCGCGGGUAAUACGAAGGGGGCUAGCGUUGUUCG